AGUGAACGCUGGCGGUAGGCCUAACACAUGCAAGUCGAACGGCAGCACAGUAAGAGCUUGCUCUUACGGGUGGCGAGUGGCGGACGGGUGAGGAAUACAUCGGAAUCUACUUUUUCGUGGGGGAUAACGUAGGGAAACUUACGCUAAUACCGCAUACGACCUACGGGUGAAAGCAGGGGAUCUUCGGACCUUGCGCGAUUGAAUGAGCCGAUGUCGGAUUAGCUAGUUGGCGGGGUAAAGGCCCACCAAGGCGACGAUCCGUAGCUGGUCUGAGAGGAUGAUCAGCCACACUGGAACUGCGACACGGUCCAGACUCCUACGGGAGGCAGCAGUGGGGAAUAUUGGACAAUGGGCGCAAGCCUGAUCCAGCCAUACCGCGUGGGUGAAGAAGGCCUUCGGGUUGUAAAGCCCUUUUGUUGGGAAAGAAAAGCAGCAGGUUAAUACCCCGCUGUUCUGACGGUACCCAAAGAAUAAGCACCGGCUAGCUUCGUG
rnacentral:rRNA from 1 species